rnacentral:lncRNA from 1 species
AAUAUAACGGUAACAUGAUUCGUUGUAAUGUCGAUGUAACGUUUACGACUAUUUUCGCUUUCCACGUACUUUCGUCGUAAACUUACCUGGACUUUACGACGAAACAGUUUCGUCGUAAAGUUCCAUGGAGUUUACGACGAAUUUUGGUCUCGUCGUAAUUGCGUUGUAAACACCUUGCAAAUUUACGAGGAAAUAUUUUCGUCGUA